UACGGGAGGCAGCAGUGGGGAAUAUUGCACAAUGGGCGAAAGCCUGAUGCAGCUAUGCCGCGUGUAUGAAGAAGGCCUUAGGGUUGUAAAGUACUUUUCAUCGGGGAGGAAAAAACAAAACUAAUAAUUUUAUUUCUUGACGUUACCCGAAAAAGAAGCACCGGCUAACUCCGUGCCAGCAGCCGCGGUAAUACGGAGGGUGCUAGCGUUAAUCAGAAUUACUGGGCGUAAAGAGCACGUAGGUGGUUUUUUUAAGUCAGAUGUGAAAUCCCUGGGCUUAAACCUAGGAACUUGCAUUUUGAAACUGAAAUACUAGAGUAUCGUAGAGGGAGGUAGAAUUCUAGGUGUAGCGGUGAAAUGCGUAGAUAUCUGGAGGAAUACCUGUGGCGAAAGCGGCCUCCUAAACGAAUACUGACACUGAGGUGCGAAAGCUGGGGAGCAAACAGGGAUUAGAUACC
rnacentral:rRNA from 1 species